UACGUAGGGUCCGAGCGUUGUCCGGAAUCAUUGGGCGUAAAGGGCUCGUAGGCGGCUUGUCGCGUCGGGAGUGAAAACUCAGGGCUCAACCCUGAGCGUGCUUCCGAUACGGGCAGACUAGAGGUAUGCAGGGGAGAACGGAAUUCCUGGUGUAGCGGUGGAAUGCGCAGAUAUCAGGAGGAACACCGGUGGCGAAGGCGGUUCUCUGGGCAUGACCUGACGCUGAGGAGCGAAAGCAUGGGGAGCGAACAGG
rnacentral:rRNA from 1 species